GACGAACGCUGGCGGCGCGCUUAACACAUGCAAGUCGAGCGAAGCGGCGGACGGGUGAGUAACACGUGAGUAACCUGCCUUAGACAUUGGGAUAGUCCCGGGAAACCGGGAUUAUUACCAAAUGGUCUAAGAUGGACUUGCGUCCCAUUAGCUAGUUGGUGGGUAACGGCCCACCAAGGCGACUAUGGGUAGCCGGUCUGGAAGGGGGAACGGCGACAUUGAAGCAGAGAAACGGUCCAAACUCUGCGGGAGGCAGCAGUGGGGAAUAUUGCACAAUGGAGGGAACUAUGAUGCAGCGACGCCGCGUGAACGAAGAAGGCUUUCGAGUCGUAAAGUUCUUUUAUAUGGGAAGCGGUACCAUAAGAAAAAGCCCCGGCUAACUACGUGCCAGCCGCCGCGGUAAUAC
rnacentral:rRNA from 1 species